rnacentral:rRNA from 1 species
GGAGUGGCAGACGGGUGAGUAACGCGUGGGAACGUGCCCUUCGCUUCAGGAUAGCCUCGGGAAACUGGGAGUAAUACUGAAUACGCCGUAUUGGGAAAGAUUUAUCGGCGAAGGAUCGGCCCGCGUUAGAUUAGGUAGUUGGCGGUGUAAUGGACCACCAAGCCUACGAUCUAUAGCUGGUCUGAGAGGAUGAUCAGCCACACUGGGACUGAGACACGGCCCAGACUCCUACGGGAGGCAGCAGUGGGGAAUCUUGGACAAUGGGCGCAAGCCUGAUCCAGCCAUGCCGCGUGAGUGAAGAAGGCCUUAGGGUUGUAAAACUCUUUCGCCGGAGAAGAUAAUGACGGUAUCCGGAGAAGAAGCCCCGGCUAACUUCGUGCCAGCAGCCGCGGUAAUACGAAGGGGGCUAGCGUUGUUCGGAAUUACUGGGCGUAAAGCGCACGUAGGCGGGUUUGUAAGUAGGGGGUGAAAUCCCAGGGCUCAACCCUGGAACUGCCUUC